UACGUAGGGUGCAAGCGUUGUCCCGGAAUUAUUGGGCGUAAAGGGCUCGUAGGCGGUCCGUCACGUCGGGAGUGAAAACUCAGGGCUCAACCCUGAGCGUGCUUCCGAUACGGGCGGACUAGAGGUAUGCAGGGGAGAACGGAAUUCCUGGUGUAGCGGUGGAAUGCGCAGAUAUCGGGAGGAACACCGGUGGCGAAGGCGGCUCACUGGCCCGGUACUGACGCUGAGAUACGAAAGCGUGGGAGCAACAGG
rnacentral:rRNA from 1 species